GGCAGACGCCGGGGACCGGCGCAGCCUGAAAUCUAUCACCGUGAGUGGGUCAGUGUCCACGACCAUGUGCAGGCCUGGGCGAGAUUUUAACCCCUUCACUGCACAGAUGAGACCUGCAGACCUUGAUCCUCUCGAGGAAGAGAAGAGGACAGAGUGAUGACAUGUAGAAAACAACACGAAGACACCAAGAUUCUGAAGACCUUGAAACAUCACUUUGUGGAAGGACCAGGUCUUUCUGUCUCAGUAUCUUGAAAGACGGAUCACAAUGAGCUGCAGUGCAGCUAGAGUUGAAAGGUGGUUGCCUGCUCAGAUGCCAACAGGUGAAAUCUGAUUGAUGCAUACACAAUAGCCAACAAAAUGCUUUGUUUGUUUGAGGAAAUGGAAAGUGACAAGGAAGUGGGGAGAGGAGCACAGGCAUGAGAUUGUAGUUUUUCUGCUUGCUUCACUGCUCUAAUCAUUGAUAGUAAAAUAUAUUUCUAGAGAUUGAAUCCCCUUCAUCUUCACCAUCUGGGAUGGAAUACACUAUUAAAACUGCAUGUUCUAAGGAAAACUACUAACUUUUCAAAAACAAGAAUUUUUUGCUUGCUAAAAAAUUAAUUUUUAAAACAUUUCUCUUUUCUGCAUAAACUGCUUCUUCCACUGGGUAUUAUUUAUUUAACUCUAAAGGUUCAAUUCAAAGUCAUGCCAGAUAUUAAUUAUAAAAAAAAAUCUUAUUUGCUACUUAUUACUAAUUUUGAGUAGUAUGUAGUUAAAAAUGAAGAAGAAAAGGAAUCUGAAGAUACUCAUGUGAUGCAUUUCACCUACUCUGUACCUAUGCAAAAUCUGACUGUGGGAUAAAAUCAAACACAAACAAAAAAUAAAAUAAACAAGCUGAAAAUAAUUGUAUCAUUUGCAAGCAGAAGAGGAUAAGAAAGGGAAACUUGUACUCACAUUUUUUAUAUUCCUUGAAAAAGCUUUGGGCCCUUCACAGCCUGCACUGGGCAGCAGCUGACAUACAAGAAUGAAGAGCCUACCUACCCUGUGAGACACCUGAAGGCUGCCACAUUCAUAAUCCCUCAACCAUCUAAAUGGAUUAAAUCAUCACAACUUUCUGCAUUGGGAAAGGAUUGUCUACUUUCAACACCAGAUGCUCCUUACUAAUUUAAGCUCUAAUUAUGAAACCACCUAAGUGGGAACUGAAUAUCUAAAUGGAAAUAUAAUUCCCUUUGUAGCUUCUGAUGCAAAACCUGGAUGCCUGUAAUUAAUUUUGUAGAGUACUGAGAACAAUGGCACAUCACUAUUGUAGAGGUGAAUUUUGGCCAAACUUGUGUAAUUCUGAGAACAAUGGAGGAAAAUGCCUAAAAGCCCAAAGUGCUACAUUUAACAUAAAUUUACCACAUGUUACACCUGCUCAGAGGCUCUACCUGGAUUUGGAGCUGCAAGUCUGUGUUUCAAAAUGUAUUGCCAUUUCAACAGGAAAUAGCCUGUUUAUAUAGAAAAGAGAAAGAGACAGAACAAUCCUAUCUUGUAGGUAAUACUAAGGCAAUAUUGCUGGGAGGAAGAAGUUUGAUUUUCUCAGAAUGUAGCCUACAUUCUAAACAUGGAGAAAAACAUAUUCUUGCUAAGCAUGUUAUCUUCUGGCUAAUGCUGAAAUUGUCUUCAAAGUUGUUUAACUGUUUAUUUUGUUUUUCUGAACAAGGAGAGUCCUUCUCUCCCUACAUAUGAAGCCUUGAUAUUUUCUUAGUUCUUAAAAGAUCUUAUAUUUUCCUAAGUCUUCUCAGAGCCCUGAGAUGACAAUAGUGUGGACUUCCUAUACUGUGCCUAACAAUUUUGUCAGUUUCAUGGAAGAAUAAGAAGCAUUCUUCUGUAAGUACUAUUAUUUGUUUUCUAUGUUUAAGCGUAGACUUGUUAAAUAUGUUCAAAUCCAUAUAAGUAGAUACUUUGAGAAACAUCUCUUCCUUCCCCCACUACUUACUAAUUCAUGACUCUGCUGUUGUAGACACAACUUUUACAGAGCUAUUGGGCAACAGUGGUACAGUUUCAACAUUGCCUGUAGCUAUAAAUUUGGUGUGAGAAAUCUUAUCUUUUGUAUGCAAACAACACACAAUUCAUAAUGUAAGUAGGAACAGUUAUCAAUAAAACAUUUCUUGACAAUUAA